GGCGGCAUGGCCAAGUGGUAAGGCAAGGGACUGCAAAUCCUUUAUCCCCGGUUCGAAUCUGGGUGUCGCCU
rnacentral:tRNA from 1 species